rnacentral:rRNA from 1 species
UUGAAAUAAACCUGAUGGGUUGUUGCUGGCUCUCUAGGGAGCAUGUGCACGCCUUGUCAUCUUUAUAUCUCCACCUGUGCACCUUUUGUAGACCUUUCAGGUCUAUGUUGCUUCAUUUUUACCCAAUGUAUGUUAAUAGAAUGUUGUGCCCUGUAUAAUAUAUACGACUUUCAGCAACGGAUCUCUUGGCUCUCGCAUCGAUGAAGAACGCAGCGAAAUGCGAUAAGUAAUGUGAAUUGCAGAAUUCAGUGAAUCAUCGAAUCUUUGAACGCACCUUGCGCUCCUUGGUAUUCCGAGGAGCAUGCCUGUUUGAGUGUCAUUAAUAUAUAUCAAGCCUUCUCUUGUAGAAGGGUUUGGAUGUGGGGGUUUGCUGGCCUCUUAAAAGGGUUCAGCUCUCCUGAAAUGCAUUAGCAGAACAAACCUUGUGUUCAUUGGUGUGAUAACUAUCUACGCUAUCGAAUGUCGAGGGGGCAGUUCAGCUUUCUAACGGUCUUUGGACAACUCAUCAUUAAUGUGACCUCAAAUCAGGUAGGACUACCCGCUGAACUUAAGCAUAUCAAUAAGCGGAGGAAAAGAAACUAACAAGGAUUCCCCUAGUAACUGCGAGUGAAGCGGGAAAAGCUCAAAUUUAAAAUCUGGCGGUUUUUUUGGCCGUCCGAGUUGUAAUCUAGAGAAGUGUUAUCCGCGCUGGACCGUGUACAAGUCUCCU